rnacentral:rRNA from 1 species
UACGUAGGGAGCAAGCGUUGUUCGGAUUUACUGGGCGUAAAGGGCGCGUAGGCGGCAAUUCAAGUCACUUGUGAAAUCUCCGGGCUUAACUCGGAACGGUCAAGUGAUACUGCUUUGCUAGAGUGCGGAAGGGGCAAUCGGAAUUCUCGGUGUAGCGGUGAAAUGCGUAGAUAUCGAGAGGAACACCUGAGGUGAAGACGGGUUGCUGGGCCGACACUGACGCUGACAGCGCGAAAGCUAGGGGAGCGAACGGG